rnacentral:rRNA from 1 species
AUUGAACGCUGGCGGCAGGCCUAACACAUGCAAGUCGAGCGGAGCGGCGGACGGGUGAGUAAUACGUGAGUAACCUGCCCUCCUUUUUGGGAUAAGCCUUGGAAACGGGGUCUAAUACCGGAUAAAGGGGGAUGGUCUCGCGGCCUAUCAGCUUGUUGGUGGGGUGAUGGCCUACCAAGGCGGUGACUGGUAGCCGGCCUGAGCGGUUGACCGUCCACAUUGGGACUGGUAUACGUCCCAGAUGCCUACGGGAGUCAGCAGUGGGGGAUAAUGCACAAUGGCCGAAAUCCUUAAGCAGCGACGCCGCGUGGGGGAGGAAGGCUUUCGGGUUGUAAACCUCUUUCGCUAUCGAAAGGGUAGGUGGAGAAGAAGCGCCGGCUAACUACGUGCCAGCCGCCGCGGUAAUUC